rnacentral:tRNA from 1 species
CACUUCGUAGCCAAGUUGGUUUAAGCACAUUACCACUAAUCUUGAGAUCGGGCGUUCGACUCGCCCCCGGGAGA